rnacentral:tRNA from 1 species
GGUAUAGCUCAGUGGUAGAGCACGUGCUUAGCAUGCGGGAGGUCCUGGGUUCAAUCCCCAGUACC